rnacentral:rRNA from 1 species
AGGGUUUGAUCAUGGCUCAGGACGAACGCUGGCGGCGUGCUUAACACAUGCAAGUCGAACGGGGCACCUUUGAAAGAGACUUCGGUCAAUGGAUGAGACUGCUUAGUGGCGGACGGGUGAGUAACGCGUGAGGAACCUGCCUUUCAGAGGGGGACAACAGUUGGAAACGACUGCUAAUACCGCAUAACGCAUGACUAGGGCAUCCUGGACAUGCCAAAGAUUUAUCGCUGAAAGAUGGCCUCGCGUCUGAUUAGCUAGUUGGUGAGGUAACGGCCCACCAAGGCGACGAUCAGUAGCCGGACUGAGAGGUUGGCCGGCCACAUUGGGACUGAGAUACGGCCCAG